UACGAAAGGGGCUAGUGUUGUUCGGAAUUACUGGGCGUAAAGCGCGCGUAGGCUGCUUGUUAAGUUGGGGGUGAAAUCCCAGGGCUCAACCCUGGAACUGCCUCCAAAACUGGCAAGCUAGAGGCUGAGAGAGGUGAGCGGAAUUCCGAGUGUAGGGGUGAAAUCCGUAGAUAUUCGGAAGAACACCAGUGGCGAAGGCGGCUCACUGGAUCAGAUCUGACGCUGAGGUGCGAAAGCGUGGGUAGCAAACAGG
rnacentral:rRNA from 1 species